rnacentral:lncRNA from 1 species
AUGUUAUUGUAAUGUUAUUGUUGUUGUUUUGUUGUUAUUAUUGUUUGUUGUUAUUAUUGAAACCCGAAACCUUAGAGGUUUUAAUCUUGUUACCCGUUAGAGGUCUAAUCUUUUUGUUGUUCUUUAAACUGAGAUUGAUGUUAUAUGUUAUUAUUUUUGUUGAGAUAAAUACGUUAUAUGUUUAUCGAGAUUGAUGUUAUAAGUUUAUGGUUGAUGUUGUUGUAUUUUUGUUGAGAGAUUUUCUUAGUUGUUUGUUUAAUGCUAAUUUUUGUUAAGGCUGAGGUAAUGUUAAUAUUGUUGUUAUUUAUUGUUGUUUUUGAG